rnacentral:lncRNA from 1 species
GGUUAUCUUUAGAUAUUUAAUCUUUCCUAAUUCAAUAUCUGUUCGGAUAUUUUGCUACUUGGGUUCGGGUUUGGAUAUGGGGUAAAAUGCGGACCCUAGAAGAAGCCAUGAAAAGGUUUUUCUAUUGCAGCUUUUCCCUGUGAUUAUUAAAGCCCCCUUUUUGUAUCACAACUCAGAAGUCGUCCCCAAAUAGCAGCUCCGACUGUUAGAUUCAGAAGAUUCUCCGGCGAACUAACACUCCGGUGGAGCUUAGAGAGAUGCUUCUAAUUCGAGCUAGCUUCUAAUAGGUCCUUCUCUCUCGCUCUCACUUUCCGAUUAUACUCUCUGCUCUCUGCUCUCUCUCUUAAUGUGCAGAUUAGCUUCUCAUAGAUUCGUAACCCAUAGCUGAUGAAUUUGAUUCACGAAUUUACUCAAAAGUUUUUCAUAUAGGAAAUGCAGAUCCAGUGAGCCCUUAAGGAAAGGCAAGGGGACAGCUUUAUCUAUGAGAAGACUCGUUCCUGUAGAAAUGUCCAAAGAGGUUGAAAACACCGAAGAAAGCUUGACGGGGACGUGACGGUGGUACUGAUCGAGCAUCCAUAUGGAGUAGAUGAUGAUGGAAACACCGAAGAAAGCUUGGACGAAAUUGAGGAUCUUGAGUGUUGAAGCGAACGAAAGAUGGCAGCAAUUAUGCCUCAUUUCUUUCUUCCUCAGACUCAGAGAUGAUUGAUUGAUUGAUUGAUGGAAAAGCUUUUUUCAAAGGUCGUCCCAGUGUCUGUCUCCUUCCCUUUUUUGAAAAUAUUUCUUUUUUUUUUAUUUUCAAUUAGUCACGGUCUGAUGAUGUGUUGUGGCCUUAUUUGCUAUUCGUUUAGCUCUUAUCUGCUGACUUGUCUUGUUGGAUUUUUUUUUUUUAAAGUGUUAAUGGUUUUCAUGAUUAUUAUGUCUUAUUAUACAUAAAUUUUGUUUUUUGAAAGUUAUUUGAAAAUAAAAUCGACAAUUUAUGUAAGGUAUUUUGGAAAUAAAAUUGACAAUUUUUGAACAGUUAAUGAUUUUUGAAGAUGUAUUGAUUUAGUUAAUAAUUAAUUUAACAUUAAUUGUUCGAAGAGAAUAUUUUAAAUAUUUGUUUUUAUAUAAAGUAAUUUACAUUCCGAAAAAAUAUAAAAAAAAUUUCAUUAAAAUAUUUUUGAACUCUGUAUUUGUAUCAAAAAAAAAGAUUGUAAAAUACUAUUGUCUGUAUAAAUAUAUUUUAGUAUUUGUGUUUUGUUACAAGUGAUAUAAUUGACCCCAGAGAAAACCCAAUUAUUACAGUAACCUGAGCUAUACUAAUCGGCCCAUUAUGAAAAGAGCCCAUAACAACCAGAGAGAAUCUUCUCUAUUAAAAGAGAAGUACCAUUUUUAUCUAUUAUUUAGAAGUUUACUAGGACAAUUUCAUUAAUUACAUAAUAUAACAUAAUAAUUAAUAAGAAUAUUAAUAAUAAAUUAAUUUUAACUAUAGAUUUGAAUUUUAUUUUUAGUUAAAACAAAAUAUGUUGAAAAAAAUCUAACAAAAUUCUACUUAAUUUUUAAAUAAUUUUUAUUAAAUAUUAUAUUAAUUAAUUUCGUAAUUAAGUAAUAUAAUGCUUUCAUUUAAAUAAAUUAUCAUCUACCACUAAAACAGGUUCAAAUUUGUUAAUCAUGUCAUAUAUUUUUAUACAAAUGAAGUUAUUAACAUAUGUUAAAAAUUUAUUUCUACAACUAUAUAUUUUCAAAAAUCAUAUGUUGAAGAAUAUUUUUUAUUUAAUUAUUUUAAAUUAUGAAAACUCGAAAACGUAAUAAAAAAGGUAAAAUGUAUAAAACAAACCCCUAUAUUAAUAAAGUAAUAAGCAACCUAAAUAAUAAAAUUAAAGAGUUGUAAAAUACAUAACACUAAGAUAUAAAUUGUAUAUUUAAAUUUCUAUAAUAAUAUCAAAAUUAAAUUUUUUUUUUUUUUUGUUCACAAACCAAAAUUAAAUAUUUAUAAAAUGAAAAUAUAGGGAUAAACUCUAGUUACUUUUACAAUCCUUCUUCCUUGGCCUUUCGAACAAAGAGCGAGAGCAGCUGCAACGGGAGAAUUGGAGUUUGAGUAGCGAUAAGCAAUCGAGAAUGUCGAAAGCUCCUCCAUCUCUCGCGUUUCUCUGCAUCCAAUCCCUCAAGCUUCAGCUUCUACAAGGUCACGAUACUAGAGAGAUAGAGAGAGAGAUUCGAACAAUUUGUUGCGCCAAUUUGAUACUGAUUUGUUGCUUUGUGUAUUCUCAGGCGACAAUCCAAUUCCUGAUGUAUACGAGCUUCCGUCUGAGUUGCUUGAUGGUGUUAUCGCUCACUUGCCUGCACUAGCGCUGCAUAAUUUCCAGACCCACAUGUGAGUGAAACCGAUUCUAGAGUUUUUGUAAUCAGUUUCUGAAGAUUUAGGGUUUUGAAUUGGAUGGAUGAAGAUGAAUUGAAUUGAAUUGAAUUGGUAUAGGCCGUUCAAGUGCUGGGAUAAUUAUGAAGCUGGUGAUGAUUGCUUGACUAGUGGGAGAAAACGCCCAAGGUUUGAUCAAUUACGUUUUGUUGUUAUUUCAACUAAGAAGACAGAACUGAGAAAUUAUUUAAACUGCAGAAAUGAUAUACUCGGUAGCUCAUGGAAGCUGCUGUUUAAGGUGCGGUGGCCUGAGCUCGUUAACAGUGUGGAACCAUCAGCUGACUGGCAACAGCUUUACUGGGAGAAGCAUCUUCAAAAGUAUGACACGGCCCUUUGAUUUGUUGUUUUACUCUGUUUUCUUCCUGUUUUGAGUUUUGCUGUUAAUCCGAGUAACAGUUGUGUUGAUGAAGCAGCUGAGGUAGCUAUGCGUCCCACAUUCAGUGGUCGGAUAAGUUCCAUUCAUGUAUCAGGUAAGUUUUCUUGUCUUGAGGUUUUAUUCGUCAGUUGUGUGAGAAUCUUUAUUCAGUUGGUUUUAUUUUGUGUUGCAGAUAAGAUAUUGAGAUACAUUUGUCAUGAAGAGCACACCAAUUGUCAAAAAUGUGUCUGUACGGAGCUAUCUUUUCAUUUCCAGACAUUUGGACCGUAUCUUAGGUUUAGUAACAUUUCAUGAUUACGGGCAAACUGCAGUACUUUCAGCUCUGAGUUCUUUAUGUUUGUUUCUUACCUUUUGCAGGUGCCUGAGGCUUCUGAAUGUGCUCUGCGUUACGGAAACUUGUGUAAGUAACUAAAAUAUGCUCUUAGGUUUUCAAUAGAGGCAUCUUUGCUUUCUUUUUAUCUCAGUAUCACUGGCUGAGAAGGUAUGUUAAAUUGUUUUCUGUGAUUACUUUUUCUCUAGGAACUUCAAAUUUGUACUUUUGUAGAUGAAUCAAUCAUUUAACCUUAUUAACAAAGGACAUGAAUAAUGUUUAGGCUUUGUUACUGUAGGAGCUACUGAGGACAAGUAAAUUAAAAACUUUGGUUCUGGGUUGGAUCAGAUCCGAGAAACAUGUAAGGAAAAUUCACUACUCAAGUCUCUAUUAUUGAGUUAGCUAGACUGGAACCAUAUUGCUGAUGAUCCAUGAUUCGACAGGUUGAGCCCUCGUGCAAACUCUUGAGCCAGAACCGAGAAACAUUAACUUCGCUUGAAUUUAUUCACUGUAAACUUUCUUCGAGUUUCAUCAGUGCAAUCUGCGCUUCUCUGCAUGAAAAAGACAUUCACACAAGUGGGAUUCAGCGUUUUUAUAUAAAGGCAUCUAGCUUUGACAUAGAUUCACUUGCUGCGCCUCCCGCUUUCAUUUCAUUCCUGAAUUCGGUGAGGUAUUCAUAUGAACUGAUGCCAGAGCGUGUCUCUGUGAAAUGUUUGCUCAUCUGGCUGUCAAAGUCUAUGUUCUUGAUUAACUUUCUCGUUUCUUUAUGCAUCUUUUCUUUCUUCUAUUUUUUGUAAGUGACCAACUUUUUUUUGCUUUCAGGUCCUUACAGUCCGUACAUUUUUGCGAUAGCCACCUCGAUAGGCAUAUCGCAAGGAUGAUUUUCUCUACGCUACUUGAUUCUUCCUCAGGUCUUUCGACUCUUGACAUCUCUGAAAACAACGUGGGUACCAUCAUGGUUCUUCUUUUUCGAACUGAUACAUGGUUUGCUUUUCAUGGCUGACCAACGCGCAAUAUAUAGAUUUCAGGAUGGCUUUCUACUUUCACCUGGAGAUCUGUCACUGGUUCUCUGUCAUCUGGAAAGUCUUUACGUUCGCUGUGCAAGCUCAACUUAAGGUAUUUCUUAGUCUAGCGACAGUUGACACGGUUUUAAGCCUUGAAACCUUGUGAAACUGUUUGAAAAAUGUAUCCAGCGGGAAUGAACUCAACAAAUACGAUGCAGAGAAUCUUUCGCAUGCUCUUCGUCAUAUGCCUGGCUUGGAAUCUCUUGACCUGAGCGGGAACCCCAUUGAAGACAGUGGGAUCAGGUUCGUCUUACAAGUUCUUGCAUUUGUAAUCUUGGAGAAAACCAACAAGAGUUACAUUUCAUUUAUAUGGUUUUCGUGAGGUACAGAAGCUUGAUAUCUUACUUCAAAAAGAAUCCGGAUUCUCCUUUAGCUGAUUUGAACUUGGAGAACUGUGAGCUAUCAUGUUGUGGAGUUAUCGAGUUUCUUGAUACCCUGUCAACGGUGGAGAAACCUUUAAAGUUCCUGUCUGUUGCAGAUAAUGCCCUCGGGAGGUAUUUGCAUAAUCACAAACUCUAUAUCACUUUACACCGAUAUGAAGUGUGUCUUCUUAUUUUAUUCUUCUUGUUCUUCAGCGAGGUUGCGGAGGCUAUAAUGAACUCAUUGAUUCUCUCCAUCGAGUCUCUCGACAUUUCGAGUAUAGGACUAGGUCCUGUUGGGUUUCUUGAGCUAGGCAAAAGACUUGUAAAAGGGGUGAAGAAGCUGAUGAGUAUCAAUAUAAGGUUCAAAGCAAAUUUCAUCUCCUCUGUUUCGUGUAUACAUUACAUUGCUUCGCCUUCUGUUUUCCUCAUGUUCUUCUUGUGGUCUCUUCCCGAUAAAGCAAAAACCGUGGAGGACUAGAGACCGCUAGAUUUCUGUCAAAGCUCAUACCCUUGGCACCAAAACUCGUCUCAGUCGACGCAUCCUACAAUCUUAUGCCACCCGAAUCUUUGCUCAUGCUAUGCGAUUCCCUGAGAAGUGCAAAAGGUUAAUAUAACUUUCUGGAACCGGUUUGAUUCUUGAGACACUUUGGUGAUUUGAGUGUAACUAUGUGUAUGAUGAUUUUGUUUCAGGUGAUCUCAAACGUCUUGACAUGACGGGGAAUAUCUGCAUCAGCAGCGAAACUGACCAUUCUUCUCUACUUGGUGAAUUUCAACACAAUGGGGAGCCCAUCUUCGUUUUACCAUCAUCCUCGACUUCACACGUCCCUUACGAUGAUGAGCCGUAGAUAGUUCUUUCUAUACCGAUUAGUUUUGCUGUUUGGCCUUUGGUCGGGUUCUCUGGUGAAUUCAUUGGUUUGGUAGGGAUGGUAAUAUGGCUGUGUUUGGCUCCAUUUUUCUUCUUCUAAAUCUAUCAAAGUGGAUCAUCAAGUUUAUGGAAGAGUAUAUGAAGAUAUAAACAUUUCACUGUGGUUAUAUUCAUUAAGGAGGGUCAUUGUAAUCUUUUGACGUGGCAAAAAAAUCAUUCUUUUCACAGUGCUAGAGCCUAGAUGGUUGGUAAUGAGUUUUGGUGUAAGAUUCCUUUGGUUAACAAAUAAUUAAGAUUUUAUUAUGCAAACAUAACUAAGGUUUACCAAACAAAAUAUAAAGCGUCGUGGCUCUAUCUAAAUCAUCAUUGCUUUUCUAUAACUUAUCCACAUACGACCGACGUUUUGUUCUACUCCAUGUGAUCAGGUGGGUGGUCAAUCUAAAUUUAGUUUCAUAAUAAGAAAUUGAUCAGAUCAUUAUUCUGACGUAUUUAUUUAUUAUUAUGUACUCUCAAUGACUAAUUUGAUUAUACUUUAUUUGGAUUUAUUCAAGUUUUGUUAGGUUGGUGAUAGACAUGAAUAUUUGUUUCUAGUUUAAUGUUAUUUAAUACUCAAUAAACUUAACCUUAAUGAGACGCUUAAACACCAAACUUUUGUCCAGUUUUGGUGUCUUAAAAAUUUAUGUGUUUGGAUUGAUUCAACUAUCAACAUAGUAUAUACAUUUGGAAUUAAAAAAAAAAUUUGUUUGUCAUAAAAUAAUCGAAACCGCCAUCGUCAAAUAUAAAAUGCAUUUGAAUUUUGUUAUCAAGUGUUAGGUUCAAUUUGGAUCAAACCGAUUUAUCCAUUUUAAACACAUACAUUUAGAAAAAUAUUCGACAAUGAAGUGAUUAAUUGGCAAAGAAGUUAACAAUUACAGGCAUUUUCUAAUUAACUUCAUUUCUUUAUUGCGAGUUCGGUUCAAAUGUCUUGUUACUAACCUAACGGAUUGAACCGGGGGUUAAGUUCGGACCAUAAAAAUUAGACAUGGACGUUAGGUCUUCCGAUCGGUUUUUUUCGGGUCUGGAUAUUUCGGAUCUUAGACAUUUGGAUCUAGUAGGUAUUUGUGAAUUUUCGGUUCGUGUUCAGAUCAGUUGUUCUCAGAUUCGGAUCGGUUCGAGUCUAUAAUUAAAAUACUCGUAAAAUACUUGUAUUUUUUCGGAUCUGUAUCGGAUCCUGAUCAGAUUCAUGUAUUUAAGAUCUUAAAAAAAAUGAAAUACCCAAAAUCCAUCAAAUUUAGUCAAUAUUUGUUAAUAUAUCUAAAAUUUUACAAAAUAACUUAAAUUAAACUAUUAAUAAUUAAAAUAAAUAUUUUUAAAUUCUAAAUUUUACAUUUUAAAGCUUUAUAUUACUGAAAAUGUUACAAAAUAAUAACAAAUAUUGAUAACAAAAAUAUUUCAACUAAAUCAUAAAAUAUAGUAUAUAUAAAAUAAAACACAAAAAAUUUAUAGUUUUGGAUGUAAAAGGUUUUUAAGUCGGGUACAAAUCGGUUCUUAUCGGAUCGAGUCGGUUCUUUUCGGGUUUGGAUCUAUUCUUUUCUGUUAUGGUUCUUUCAGGUAAAAAUAUUUUGGACCCAAAAGGUACUUAUAAAAUUUUGGUUCGGUUUCGAGUCUGAUAUUUUUAAAUCGUUUCCGGUUCAGAUUUUCGGGUCGAGGUUAAAAUGCCCUUGCUCUAAUAAAAAUAAUGAUAAUACAGCUACUAUUAUGGCAUAUCAGUGUAAAUAAUAAAAAGAAGAAGGGGCAAGUUCCCAAAUGGGUAAGCCAACCAUACGGUUUCGUUUUUAUGGUCCUCAAAUCAAAUGACUACUUGUUAAGUCUUAACUAGAGUCACCUUUACUCUUCCUCGGCUCUCUCUCUCUCUCUUUCUUUGUAAAAAUAAUUAAGCCGCACUUCUCCUCUAAAUCUCUUCCUCGGCUCUCUCUCUCUACACUUACCACGUUCCACACGCGCACACGCACGCUCUCUCUUUCUCCGUUCAUCGAAUCCCUCCUUCAAUUAGGUGUGUGUUGAUUGGGGAAUAAGCAGAUCUGAAGGGAGGAGAGGCAGAUCGGGAGUGGUUAGGUCAUCAUGGAGGAAGCUCUCGAAAUGGCGCGAGCCAAGGACACCAAGGAGCGCAUGGCGGCUGUGGAGCGUCUCCACCAGCUUCUCGAAGCUUCUAGGAAGAGCCUGAGUCCGUCGGAAGUGACGUCACUUGUUGAUUCCUGUUUGGAUCUCCUCAAGGACAGCAAUUUCAGAGUCUCUCAAGGUGCGCUUCAGGCGCUCGCUUCCGCCGCCGUGCUCGCCGGCGAGCAUCUGAAGCUUCACUUGAACGCGCUUGUCCCUGCCGUAGUGGAGCGGCUUGGAGACAGCAAGCAACCGGUUAGGGAUGCGGCGAGGCGUUUGUUGACAACUCUCAUGGAGGUCAAAAAUAGUUUUAUUUCUCUCUUUCUCCUUUGCCAUUGACAAGUGUGAUGUAACAGUUUCUAUCUUUUCUUUGUUUGGUAGGUUUCAUCUCCGACGAUUAUAGUGGAAAGAGCUGGUUCGUAUGGUUGGCUGCAUAAGAGUUGGAGAGUUAGGGAAGAGUUUGCGCGAACUGUCACGUCGGCCAUUGGUCUCUUUGCAUCUACUGAGCUCCCUCUUCAGCGUGUUAUUCUUGCUCCGGUAUAAAGGAAUCAACAUUGUUUUUGCUUGUAUUGAUUGGCUAUUAUUCUCAAUUCUAAUUCAGAUAGUUUUUUUCUUAUUGAACAGAUACUUCAGAUGUUAAAUGAUCCGAAUCAAGCAGUCAGGGAAGCUGCAAUUCUCUGCAUUGAGGUAAAGUUUUUAACUUGUGUGAGUAUCGAAUUUCAUCAAUUUAGUUUGUGGACAUCUCUGUCUAUUUGUGUUGGAGAAUUCAAAGUUCAGAUGCUUUGUCUCGUUUUGGCCUUUAAUAUCAUUCUUCUGCUUUCUCUCAGGAGAUGUACAUGCAGGGUGGGAAUCAAUUUCGGGAAGAGCUUCAGCGCCACCAUCUUCCAUCAUAUAUGGUAAAUCUCAGAUUCAGAGCCUGCACAUUGCAUAUCACUAUACUUUGAUGAGGAAUACUAGAAUUGCAGUUUGCUAAAACUUCUUCCCUUUUUUGAAUCAGGUGAAGGAUAUUAAUGCUAGACUGGAACGUAUUGAGCCACAGCAGCGUUCUACAGAUAGCCGUAGUAGCCACCAUGCUGCUGUUAAUGAAGUUAAGGCUUCAAGUGUCAAUCCCAAGAAGAGCAGUCCAAAGGCAAAGAUUUCCACAAGAGAGAACUCGUUAUUUGGAGGUUAAGAUCUUUAACUCAAGGAUUAAAGUCUAAAAAUUGGCCUUCUUUUACUUUGUCUGAUUUGUUUUGUAUCUGUGCAUUUCAGGAGAUCCUGACAUCACUGAAAAACCCAUCGAGCCAAUCAAUGUGUACUCAGAGAAGGAGCUGAUACGAGAAUUUGAGAAAAUUGCUUCAACACUUGUCCCAGAGAAAGACUGGUCAAUGCGUAUUUCAGCUAUGCGGAGGGUUGAAGGACUUGUUGCGGGAGGUACUUAAUCAACUUUUUUUAUACUUAAUCCUUCACAUUUUCUGUUAGUCAGUGGAGGAAUUUUCCUGUGUCACAUCUCAUGAAUUUUUUCUCUGUUGAAGGUGCGACUGAUUACUCUUGUUUUCGAGGUCUCCUGAAGCAACUUAUUGGUCCCUUAAGUACACAGUUAUCUGACCGAAGGUCUACCAUUGUUAAGCAGGUUUGAUAAAUUGUCGAUUUGAUAUUUUAUUAUUAAGAUUCAGAGUGCGUUGUGAUUCUUCUUUCCUAUGGAGACAAAUUGAUUAGUUGGCAUGUCGUGAGGAGUGCUAUUUUCAUUAGUUUAUGGGAACUCAUUUCUUUUCUGUGGCCGGUGCCAUCUUUGUAUAGUUUUUAUUCAUUUUUGCAAGAAUAAUACAGUUUGCUAAGUUCAGUAGAUUAAGACGGCCUUAUAUUAUAUAGUUUUGUUUUUCUAUCAUUGCGUUUCCUUCAUAUGCUGUUUCUCGUGUACAUAGGCUUGCCAUCUCUUGUGUCUCUUAUCAAAAGAGCUACUGGGCGAUUUUGAAUCAUGCGCUGAGAUUUUUAUUCCAGUAAGCUGAAACCCUUUUAAUCUACUGUUAUGACAUUAAAUGCAUAGACAUUCACGUUAAUAUUGUUAUAUGGUAACCAGGUGCUUUUCAAGCUGGUUGUGAUCACUGUGCUUGUUAUCGCCGAAUCUGCGGAUAACUGCAUAAAAACGGUAAAUAAUUAGCUAUUCUGAUCUUGUCUUCUAGAAGAUUUGUCUGCUCUUCUAAUUGUUGCGCUAACACAUAUGCUUUCUUGCUAUUCCAGAUGCUGCGUAACUGCAAAGCUGCUCGUGUACUUCCUCGCAUAGCUGAGGCAGCAAAACAUGACCGUAAUGCAGUUUUGCGAGCAAGGUAUGCUACGGCCUUCGUAUCAAUCAUAAGAUUUUUGAUUUCAUGGAAGCUGAUCCCAGUUUUUUAUACAGGUGUUGUGAAUAUGCACUGUUAACACUCGAACAUUGGCCUGAUGCUCCAGAAAUUCAGCGGUCAGUUGAUUUAUACGAGGAUCUGAUUAGAUGCUGUGUUGCAGAUGCUAUGAGUGAGGUAGGUCCCUUGUUUCAUCUGUGUGGGAGGGCAGUCAUUAGGAUACAAUGCAACUUGGAUAUACAUUUGCAUUAGUAGUAUUAAAUGAUUGAAUUUCUUGUACUGCCCAUCUAUUAUUCUCCCAUGUAAAGGUGGUAUUUUUUGAAUAACAGGUACGGGCAACGGCUAGAAUGUGCUACAGACUUUUUGCAAAAACUUGGCCGGAUCGUUCUCGUCGUUUAUUUUCCUCCUUUGACCCUGUCAUUCAAAGGGUAAGGCUUCUCAUCUCUAUAUUUCUGCUUAUUAGCAUUGAUGAGACUUAGUAAUGCAUUCCAUAUGUUUUCAGCUAAUAAAUGAAGAAGAAGGUGGAAGUCAUAGGAGACAUGCCUCACCUUCUGUCCGUGAGAGACACUCCCAGCCUUCAUUUUCUCAGACGUCUGCUCCAUCUAAUUUACCUGGCUAUGGGACAUCAGCCAUAGUCGCUAUGGAUAGAAGUUCAAAUUUAUCCUCAGGAGGAUCUCUUUCUUCUGGGCUACUCUUAUCCCAGUCAAAGGAUCUCAAUAAAGGUUCUGAACGUAGUCUAGAAAGCGUGUUACAAUCAAGCAAGCAGAAGGUCAGUGCAAUUGAAAGUAUGCUCCGAGGACUGCAUGUAUCGGAUAGACAGAAUCCAGCAGCUCUUCGUUCCAGUAGUUUGGAUCUAGGUAUUGAGCUUCUUUCCUUGUGAGAGUACAUCUUGUUUUCGAAACGUUCUCAGACACGAGCGAAAACAUUCUAGCGCAGCUAAAUUUUCUUUUUAUCCCCUAGUGCAGGAGUUGACCCUCCAUCGUCUCGUGAUCCUCCAUUCCGUGCUUCCGUUCCAGCAUCCAAUACUCUCACAAAUAAAACAACUGCUGAAUCAAUGCCUAGUAUUAACAGAGUCAGUAAUCGCAGUGGUGGCCUUGGUUUGUCAGAUAUCAUCACCCAGAUACAAGCUUCAAAGGACUCAGGAAGACAAUCACACCGUAGCAAUUUGUUGUCCGAGUCUCAUCCUAGCUUUUCAUCCUUGACAGCUAAAAGGGUCUCAGAGAGAAACGAGAGAAGUUCUUUUGAGGACAACAACGAUGCCAGGCGGUUUAUGGUGGGUCAUUUAGACAGACAGCAGAUGGAUAACGCUUAUAGAGAUUCAACAUUCAGGGAUUCAAACGCUAGUCAUGUUCCCAAUUUCCAGAGGCCACUUUUGAGGAAAAAUGUUGGGGGAAGAUUGUCGGCAGGCAGGACGAGGAGUUUUGAUGAUAGCCAACUCCAAGUUGGUGACAUGUCAAAUUAUGUUGAUGGUCCAGCGUCUCUGAACGAGGCCCUUAACGAUGGACUGAAUUCAAGUUCUGAUUGGUGUGCCAGAGUUGCAGCAUUUAAUUUUCUCCAAACUUUACUGCAACAAGGCGCGAAAGGUGCUCAAGAGGUGAUCCAGAAUUUUGAGAAAGUAAUGAAACUAUUUCUCCGGCAUUUGGAUGAUCCUCACCACAAGGUUGCACAAGCAGCACUGUCGACACUCGCGGAUCUUAUACCAUCUUGCCGAAAGCCUUUUGAGAGCUACAUGGAACGAGUCUUACCCCAUGUGUUUUCAAGGCUAAUCGAUCCUAAAGAGGUAGUUAGACAACCUUGCUCGUCUACCCUGGAUAUUGUCAGCAAAACCUAUAGCGUAGAUUCGCUUUUACCUGCGUUGCUUCGUUCACUGGAUGAGCAGAGAUCACCGAAGGCUAAAUUAGCCGUGAUCGAAUUUGCCAUCAACUCCUUCAACAGGUACGCUGGCAACCCUGAAAUUUCGGGUAAUAGUGGCAUCCUGAAGCUUUGGCUGGCAAAGUUGACACCAUUAACCCGCGACAAGAAUACCAAGUUAAAAGAAGCUUCCAUCACUUGUAUCAUAUCUGUUUACAAUCACUAUGAUUCUGCUGGACUUCUAAAUUACAUUCUUAGUUUGUCGGUUGAGGAGCAAAACUCCUUGAGAAGAUCCCUCAAACAGUAUACUCCCCGCAUCGAGGUGGACCUAUUAAAUUAUAUGCAGAGUAAGAAGGAGAAACUGAGAGUAAAGUCUUAUGACCCAUCUGAUGCCAUUGGAACAUCAUCUGAAGAAGGAUAUCCAGGUGCUUCCAAGAAGAACAUAUUCCUUGGCAGGUACUCUGGGGGUUCCGUCGACAGUGAUAGUGGUAGGAAGUGGAGUUCUUCCCAGGAGCCAACAACGGUCACUGGCGGUGGUGUUGGUCAAAGUGUUUACAGUGGAACUCAGGAAAAGCUGUAUCACAACUUCAGAAGCGGGAUAAGUUCUGCUAGUGAUGGGUUGAACCAAAAGGAUUCUGAUUACACGUUUACUUCAGCUGGUCAUAAUUUGAUAUCAAGAACUAGCCCAAAUGGAAGCUCAGACAAGGUUGAAAACUUUGAUAGCGUAUCUCCACCACAUUUAGAGAAAAAUGGUCUGGAUAUGACAAAUGCUGAUCCUUGGAAGAUAGACAUGAAAAUGAGGCUUCUCGCGAAUUAGAUUUGAGUCAGUACAUGCUCUCAUCUAUUAAGGUUAGCCCAACACCGGAAUCUGGACCUAGCAUUCCUCAGAUUCUACAUAUGGUAAGUAACUGUUGUCGCAUCUGCUAAAAGUCAGUUAUCAUUUUCUCUUCUGAUACUUUAAAGCAUGUCUGAUGAUUAUGCUUAUACAGAUCAAUGCGAGUGAUGGAAGCCCUUCUUCGAGCAAGAUAUCUGGACUCCAGCAACUAAUUGAAGCCUCUGUAGCUAACGAGGAAUCAGUUUGGACCAAGGUAUAUCUAAUGAACCCUAGUACCACUCGUCGGAGUAUUGGUCCUGACGUUUAUAACUUAUAGAGAACAAUCUUUUAAAAAACGUAGUUACCGAAUAUGUUUAAUUUACUACAUGAAAUUACUAGGCUAACAAGAUUAGGUAAGACACGAAAAAUGUGGGUUCAUAAACUUAGCUGGUGGGGGUCUUAACCUAAGAUGAAACUUAACAAGCCACGCUACGGAUUUUUUAUUGCCAUGUGGUAGCAGCUGUAUUAACUAUUUGAGGUUUUUGUUCGUUGAUUCUUUAUUCGUCUUGUAGGUCAGAGUCAGAAGCGUCUUUUGUUCAAAAUGAUUUACCAUAUUCAUUUACUUAUCAGUCCUAAUGGAAAUUCUCCUUUUUUUUUGUAUAUUCACAGUACUAAUCAAAUAUUGACGGUAGUUCUUGAAGUGGUCGAUNNNNNNNNNNNNNNNNNNNNNNNNNNNNNNNNNNNNNNNNNNNNNNNNNNNNNNNNNNNNNNNNNNNNNNNNNNNNNNNNNNNNNNNNNNNNNNNNNNNNGAAAGGCCGACACCUUAGCCAAGACAAGGCGCAUCUAUCAGAGUUUAGUUUUUGUUUGUUGUGCUAUUUUGGUCUGGAUUUCUGAACCACUUGUUGUUUGAGAAUGAUAGAAUAGCCAUUUGUGACAAAAAAGGGUAAAUAAUCCACGUAAGAUAUUUUAUAAAAUAUUUAUUAGAUAAAUCAAAAUAUUUUAAAAAUAUACAUUGUAUAAUAACAAACAAUAUGUAAAAUAUAUAUUUUUAUUUGAUCAAGUUAAAGUUAUAAAAGUAUUUAAAUUUUAUCAGUUCAAAUAUUGCACAUAUUUAUAAAAUUUUGAAAUUAAAUUAUUUAUGGAUUUCAUAUGGUAUAUAAUUAAAUUUAAAUGAUUUUAGUUUGCAUACCCACUAAAUAGACUUCUUACUCAUAUGAUUUUAUGAUCAUUUGAAUAUUUUUUAAACCAUUGCUCAUAAAACUUUAAAUAUGGAAUUUUUAAAAGUGUAGUAAUUUAUAAUCGUUUUUUAAAAAUUUAACAUAUAGCAUAUACAAAAAAAUCUAUUUUUUUAUAUGGUUGAUGUGACUGUUUUUAAUUUUAAUAGCGUAAAAUUAGACAAAAAUGAUAAAAUAUAUAGAAAUUGUAACAAAUCUUGAUAAGUCAAUAUAAUUAAUUAUCAUAUUUAUUUCAAAUAAUAUAGGGUAGUUUCAUAGCUUUUACUUAAGGAAAGAACAAUGAAUAUUUAUUUGUGAACAUUUGAAUAAUGAAUGGUCCAUCAUAUUAUAUACAAUAACAUGAUUUGUAAAUUCUCUAGUAAAUAAAGGCUUUUGAAAAGGCAUAUGGAAGUGACACAUAAUCAUAGAACCCAAUGUUACAACUUAACAAUGCUUCUCUUGUAAUAUAUAAAAGAUUUAUGAUUUUUAAAUUUUGGUACUGUAUAUUAUGUCACUCUAUAACAAUAAUGUAUGUGUCUUGUUUGACAUUAUUAAUAUAUGAUAAUUUAUUUUUAUACAUAAUUUAUUUUGUUAUUAGUCACUGUUACAUACUGAUAUAUUUUGUAACAUUUUGUUAUAAUAAAUUCAUAAUUUGAAAAAAAAUUAAAUAGAAAAACAUCCUUAAAUAUUAUUCAAUUUUUAUCAUUUGAAUUAAUUAAUAUUUUUAGUUCAUUUAAUUAUUCUAUAAAUUUAGCUAUUUGCUGAAACUUUAAGGUUCAUUGAAGAUGACGAAGAAUUCUAAGUAUGCCUCUUGGCUCGCUUAUCCGCUACACAAAAUCUUAUGUUUCCUUUUUUUACAAGGAACAUUGCACAUUUGAUAUGAUUAAAAAUUUUCUCUAUCUAAAACACAAAUCCUCUCCCCUCUUUUUAAAUUCAAGCUUUCUCCAUUACUAAACUCUCUGCUCAAGUGACACUGCAUCCUUUCUGGCGGUCGCCGGAUGCUCCUCCAUGUGCUCUCUUCUUCUCUCUACAUUUCUCUUUUCUAUCUUUGUGGUAUCUCUUUCUCGGUUUGAGUUGAAGGGUUGAGCUCAGCCGAGAUCUCGGCGUUUCAGAUCCGGCGGUUCCUAGUGCAAAUAUGGCGCAUGCACAGUGCCGUGCCUACCUUGAAAGUUGAAAGAAAAGAAACUUUCGCUUAGGACAUCAUUUUCUUAAAAAGCAUUAAAUAAGUCUUUAGUUAUGUCACAAUAUGCAAAUGCAAUAUUGGCCACAGUCAAUAUCUAUACUAUUUAAAAAGAAAGAAUUUUAUAAAAUCUACCUAUGCAAGGUUGAUGGACCCUUUCAUUUUCAGUCAACCUAUUAUAUUAGUAAAAAUUAAAAUAAUCUUACAUUUUAAUAUACCCAUGUUUCUUUCAAUCAAGUAACAAUAAAUCGUGACGUAAAUAGAGAUUGAUAUAAACGUAAUAAGGUAUAUCUCCAAUAAGGUAUAUCUCCACUUGGAUCACUUUUUAUAAACAUUUGAUAUAAGUUCAGGUUCUAAACCGUGCUGUGGUGCCCGACUAAGUGGAGAUCCACUGUGAAGAUUCUAGCCUCUUCGGCCAACAAAUCAGAUUCAACAAAAAGUUCAUUUUUAAGAGUUUUGAAUGUUAUAGAUCACAUAUUGGAAGAUAUAUCUACGAAACUGAUGCAAAAACAACAAAAAGAACUCAAAGAAUUAAUGAAUUUCAACGAAUCUAAGAUUGACGGCGGAAAAAAAAUUGCAGAAAAGAAAACCUAAAACAGUUGCAAGGAAGAUGAUAACGUAAUUACCAUUAUGCCAUUCAUUUAAUAAACGGACAAAAAAAACGUGCUCCUACUGUUUUGACAAGAGAUGAAUUGGGCUCAAACGAAACAAAACCACUGCCGGUCCAACUACACUUAGUUGUUUAUUCUCCUCAGUUUAAAUAUAUUUGUAGAUAUAUUUAUUCAAAAUUUGACAAAAUGAUUAUAAUUAAAUGUGUCCAUUGGCCACGAAAAGCAACGUCUCACCUUUACAGUGGCUCCAAAUAUGUCUCCGACAUUUUUUUUUUUUUGAAAAAUUCUCUGACAUUUUUGAAAGACAUGAAUCAAGCCUUUCAAACUGGUAUUCAUUCAUGAAAGCAGUUAAAUUCUUUUGCUGAAGAUUCUUUGAAGUCCAUAAAUACUCUUACAAAGGUAAACCAAAGGCAAAAUUAAAAAUUAUUGUAUAAACCUUAUCAUUAACUGGAAAUGCUUAAUAAAAUGAUACAGUUUCAAACUUUAUAACAUAUAUUGAAUUAAUAUGUAUUAUAGAAAAAAUAUGGUAGGUUUCUCAUGAAAAUCUAUAACAAUAAUAAGAAAACAUAGGUCCGAAGCGCGGUUUUUUUAAACUAUGAACUGUUUAAUAUGAAUUAGUAUUUGUAGAUUGUUGUACAUUAUGUUAUCUUGAAAUCUUAUUACACUAAAGCAAAUAAUUUUUUUUAAAGUAUAUAAUUUAUAAAUUAGUUUAUUUGAGUUUUUGUAUGUAAAUUUUUAUGUAACUCUUUAGGUCUGUGCAUUUUAUGUGGAUCUAGAACCACGAACCAAAACCGACUCGAAAAUAUAAGUUUGGUUCCGGUCCAGGAGAAAUGGAUGUUUCGAUUCUGGUCUGGAUCAUACCCAAGAACCGAUCAGAUACCCAAAGUACUCGAAUGUUUUGGUAUAUUAGGUAUGUGUGGAUAUUUGUAUAAGUUUUGGUAGUACAUAUAUUCUUUUAAGUUUCAGGUUUGGGUUUUUGGUUACAGUUUCAGGUUUUGGAUAAUAUUUUAAAAUUUUAAGAAUAUAUUUUUGGUAUUCACAUUAAAUUUUGGGUUUUUUUUUGUUUUUUCGGAUCAGAUUUUGGCAAAAAUACGGGCUUCACGGGUAUUUGAAUAUAUUUCAGGUAUUUAUUUUGGUUUUCAGGUAUAUGGCAAAAGAAACACAUUUUUAAUUAAAAAUUAAAAGUUCAUAUCGUUAAUACAUUUCAAUAAUGAAAAUAUAUUUUCUUAAAUACUGUAUAUCUAUUUAAACAUAAAUAUCAUAUUUAAAUCCGUUUCGAACAAAUCUCACACUUUGAAAAUAAAAUAUUAACGAAUGAUAAAAUAAUAACGAAUGAUAAAAUAAAACUCAAUUGUUAAAAUGCAAAACAAAAAAUAAUGGCAAUUCUUAAAUUAAUUAAUGAUAAAUCAAAAAUAAACUCGCAUAUUCUAAGCGCGGGUCAAAAUCUAGUUCAUAUUAUUAAUUUUCAUACACUGUUUAUUUAAAUCAAUUUAGUUAAAGUAGGGCAACUAAUAAAUAACUAACAUGCACUAUAUAUUAGCCGCAGCUAUUACUCUUACCAUUAAAUUAUACUUUUGUUUUAAAUCAACUUGGUUUAAGUGAGGCAAAUAAUAAAUAAUUUAAAAUAAUAAGGAUUUAAAUAACUAGAAGUUUACAAGUUAUCAACAUUGUCUUCUCGUAUUUUGGUAGUUAUCACUUCUAAGUAUGAUACAUUCUUUCUCAAUAUUUAAAAUUUGUAGUUAUAUUUAUUCUAUAAUAUUUUAAGUUUGUAUAGUAAUGCAAUAUUUAUUUCAUUACUAGAUAUGAGCCCGUGCGUUGCAACGGGUUUUGUUGGGUGCUUUAAUUUAAUAAAGAAAUAAAUCAUUUUAUUAUACUUUUACGAUUAUUUUUGCAUAUGUUGUGUAAGAGUUAUUUUAUAAUUAAGAACUCGUUUUUACACAUAAAUUCUAGUUAAUGUUUGUAUUUUAUAAUCAUAGUGCAUAAGUGAAUUUUUUUUAUCAAUUUUCUACUUAGUGCUAUAGAAAACACUCAUACCUAUAACUUUAAACCCAACCUGAAUUAAAAAUUAAAAAAAAAAUUUGAAAGUUAAAUAAGCCCAAUCAAGUCAAUGACAACAUCAUACACUUUCUUAUUUAAUAAUUUAAUAUUUUAUUAAACUUAUUUGAUGCUUAAUAAUUUUUUUAAUUCAUUAUUUCUUAAUGAUAUAUUUCCAUAACAACAUUUUAAUUAAAAAUGAAGUAAAAAAAUAUUACAUGGUAAAAACAAAAUGUAAUAAGAUGGCGAUUAAACUUGAUUUUUUUAACAAAAUGCAUAUAAAAAUCACUUUUGUGAAAAUGAUAAUAAUCUAUUUCUUAUGACCAAACAUGAAAAUAUAUAUCAGACAUGUGUAUAAUUUUCGUAUGACCAAACAUAUAUAAAUAGCAAUCAUGAGGACAUCCUAAUUUUUUUAUUUUUGUUAAUUAAAUAGUUUUAACAUCAUACUUGUCAUCAAAUUCUUUUUUUUUUAAUUAUUAAUACAUAAUUUUACAAUUUAUUUUUGUUUAGAUUAUUUUUUAAAAGGGAUCCUAUUCAUUUACAAUCAAAUAUAUAUAUAUAUAUAUAUCAAAUACUCUUUUACAUUUUUGUUUAGGCUUUUAGGAAAGGAAAAUUACUAUCAUAUAACCUUUUACAACUGUCUUCUUUUUAAAAUUUUAGAAAAAUUAAAUUGUUAUAAAUUAUUAUUUCUAGUUACUAUUAAAUAAGUUAUAAAAAUACUAUUUAUACAAUUCGUAUCUAAACUAAUUUUACACAGAUGGAGUAAUUUUUUAGUAUCAUGUUCAUUAUCAAAUUCUCUCUUAAAAACAUAACCAAAUAAAUUUUUACAAUUUUAUUUUCGUUAGAACUUAAAAAUAUGAUACAAAACUCUUAUGUUUAAGAUUUUUUUAAAAUAUAUCAAAUAUUCUGUUAUAGUUUAUAGGGCUUUAGAAAAGGAAAUUAAUAUUAAAUAACAUUUUAAAAUUUAAUUUUGUUUGGGAUUUUAAAUGAAAAUUACUAACAAAUAAUUAUUUCUAGUUGUGAAAUAUUUGUAACUGUUUUUUGGUUUAUAAUUUUUUAACAUACAAUUAUCUAUAAAAAGGAAAGUUUGUUAUUUAUAGUAAAAUAAUAGUAAUACUUUUACAAUUUUAUCUUGUUUAGGAUUUAAAAAUAAAUAAAUAUUACUUAUUUUAUAGUUAGUUUUACUUUAUGAUAUUUAUUAAAUAAUUUCUUGUACGUGUAGGAUUUUGAUAAUUCCUUUUUUUAGAUUUUUUUAGUUAAUACUUUUCUCUUACAAUUUUCUUUCUUUGUUGUCUUUAAAAACGAAAAUUAUAACUUUUUCAAACAAAAAAUAAAUUUAAUUUCAAAUAAUCUAUUACAAUUAUUUACUUUUUUAGGAUUAAAAAAAAUAAAAAUUACUAUCCCAUAAUUUUAACAAUAUAUAAUUGUAAAAGACUAUGUAAUAUUAAUUUUUAUUUUCCAAAAUCUUAAAAAGAACUGUAACAACUAAUUUUGUAAUAAUAUAUCAUAUUUUUAAAUCAUAAAGAAAAAAAUAUUAUAUUUUUGACACUUAUCACAAUCUUAAAAGGUUUAUUGACACAUGUCGCGAUCAUGUUAAUUAACAACUUUGAAGAAUCAAGUUUUAUAUAAUAAGAUUCAAGUUUGUAUCAUCGUUUGAAUAUAUCAAUUAAGACACUUGAUUAUUUUAUCUAUACAAAAUAAUUAUGAAAACUAUUUAAGAAUAUUUCUUUUUACAAAAUGUGGUUAUGUUUUUCUAGGACGAAUAUAAAAAUGUUAUAGUGAUUCUGUCUUUUUGUCAAUAAAGAUACUAUUUAUUAGUUUAGAUGCAUUUCUAUUAAAUGAUUUUAUUUUUGUAUUCGCUUCGGGCAAUUAUAAAGGCUCGUACGACUCUGAAGGGAACUCGAACUCAGAACAUGAAUUACUAGGGUGCAACAUAACCAAAUAUGCCACUUUCUCAACUAUGUACAAUGUAAAACGUUAAAUACGUAAAUAAGCAUGGAUGUGCACGUGCACACAUGCUCCUUAAGCUAGCUUCGCCCCUGCAUGCACGGCGGUCCAGCUAGGGCUUGAGAACAGACUCUGCCUCCUCCGUGUCUUUUUCCGGUUUGCUGAGGGAUCUCUAUCCGGGGAUUUUUCCAUGUCUCUGGCUGUGUCUCUUAGAGUUUUGGUGGUGUGUGAGUCAUUGAAUAAUCCCCCUUGGUUCAUCGGUGCAGUGUGACAAGUGUCUAUGUGAUAGCGCUUCUAGGGGAGGGAUUGGAGCUUGUGGGUUUUUGGAUCUCUUUCUUCUCUGCUCCUCUUUCGUGGUUUCAGUGGUCUUUGGAAGUAGCACCUGAAGUGAUUGCUCGGGUGGAUCGUUGUCUCGCCUUAGGGUUUCUCUCCGGUGGUGACAUGUGGUGCUGAUGUCUCCUCCAAUCGCUUCAAUCUAUCUAAUGGCGUGUGGAGUGCUUGACUUCUCUUCGGAGGUGGUGUGGGUUCGACGAGGUGGCGUUUCUUGCUGCGUCUCUCUCUCCUUCUGUCAUCUUCGAUGGAUUGAGUGCAGUUAAACGAAAAUUUUUGGCUUUAAUUUGAAAGUUAAGGGUUUAAAUAGUUGUUUUCUCGAAAAACAUUAAUUGCAUAUUCGAUAUGAAAAUAAUCUAGUGUACUCUUGUUACAUAAAAAGUAAUCUCGCCAUUCUUCUUUUUUCUUAACAACAUCUCACUAUUCUUCCUUAUUCUGAAUUUAAUCCUCCAUUACAAUUGUAGGUAGCGGUUGUGGAGAUAACUACUAGGAGAUGACGUAGUGGGGGAAUCCAUAUCUUACCAUCACCGAGAAGAAUGGAAAUCAGGAACCAAAGCCCGCCGGUUAGACGGAAAAUUAACCAUUGAAGCGCUAGGGUUCCAAUCGCUUUUUUUGUCGCACUUUUUCGUCUCCUUAAAUGUAAAUUUUGCAGGUUAAAAAUGUUUUAUUUUAAUUAUUCUUAGUUUAUUAAAGUUAUUUUGUAAAAUUUUAGAUAUAUAUAUAUUAUAGAUAUAUAUAAUAGAUAUAUAUAAUAGAUUUCGACUAAAUUUAAUAGAAUUUGAGUAUUUUGUGUGUUUUUUCAGAUCCUACCCGACCCGGACUGAUAAGGAUCCAAAAAUUACGUGUAUUUUACAAGUAUUUUAAUUAUAGAUCUGAACCGACCCAGAUCUGAGAAGCACCGACCUGAACCCGAAUCGAAAAUUUACAAAUACCUAUUUGGUCUAAAUGUCUAUGACUGGAAGGACCCGAACCCAAGAAGAACCGGUCCUAACCCAACCCGAAGACGCGAACACCCAGGACUAUAGCUCGUUGUUUCAUAAACCAAACAAAGCAUUUCUAGACCUAUGAUCGAAUAAUAGAGAAAAUUAUUAUCACUCUGACUGAAGGAAAAAUCAAGUUGAGAAAGACAACAAAGCCAGUUGUUUAUAAUGGUAUAUAGAAGCUUUAUGCUAAACAUUGCCGUCUCAACACCCCCAGUUUUGCUUAUAGUUGGUUUAUCUGAAGAGAAUAGUAAAAAAAAAAAAACUAAAACUUAAAGAGUGCAAGGUUAAUCCAUCUAGCAAGAUAAAACUACUUUUCUUCUACUGUUUCAGGAACUGAAAAAUCAAAAGAGAGAUUGAGUAUUAAAAAUAAUCAUAGAACCAAAUUUUUUUUUCUCAUUUUAUGAUAAUCAGCUUGUGACAUAUUACCAUGGCGAUGCCAUCAGACACCAUAAGAUGAUACAUGCCUUCAGCAACUCCAGAGUAAAGAUUUGCCUCCUUUGCACCACAUCCUGAUGAAAAUGGCACAUCAAUCGAUUAACUAGAAACAUUCUACUGCGCCCGUUGUUCAUCAUUACAGACAGAAAAACAAAAGGAAGUUGAAUUGUAAAACUAAGACAGAGAUACAAACAAAUUCCACGAAAGAAAAAGAAAACAAGAAACCUUAAGUGAAGGAACAAAGAGGAAGAUGAAACGAAGUCGGUAACAUCCUGGAUUAGCCACAAGUCGUGCAUUUUUUUAUGUCCUCCCUCAGAACCCAUACACAACUUCUUUCUGAAACCAUCAUGACAACAGGUAAAGCACAAGCAACAUGAACACAACAUACCCAAAAUCAAGUAAAUAACUUUUGAGAGUGAAGUUACCUGUAACUAUGCUGCUUUGUGUGAGAAGACACCGAAAUGCGGAUAUCAUUGAGAAGCAGAUUCAUAACUUUUGAGCUCUCAGGUGCGGGGAGGGAAGAUGUUUUCCAUUGACUGGCCAGCUUUUCUAUCAGCAGUCAUGAGAGCGAGGGAAGACACCGAAAUGCGGAUGAUUUGCAAGAAGCCAUACGAUCUGCUGCCAUUCAAUUGAAAAAGGGGAUUCCAAGUCUAUCAUUUGUUAAAAUUUGGUAAUGUAUUUGGAAACAAAACUAACAUUAUUUUUUAAUGUAAUGCUAAAGAACCUUUAAAGCGAUGACUAUAAGGUAUUUCAUUUCCUAUAUUCAUGAGACUAUUGACCAAGGCAAGUACCAGUACCAGCACCACCUUUUGCCGGAGGGAAGAAGCUUGCUACACUUUUUCACUCCUUAAGCUAAAUGAGAAGGCCAAUGCCCAAAAAGCUACAUACUUGCAACAAUGAUGCAUACCAAUAAUAUGCUCUGAUCCAUUACAAAAAGCCAACGAGUCUGAAAAAAAAAGAACUUGAAAUAUGUAAACAACAACUGAGCUAAAAAAGAAACGAAACUGCGUUUUCAUUUAGCAAACACUGAGCUCAAACUCCGACGCAGCACAACUGAUUCUUGGUUUCGAUUCAAACACACAAAAUCGGAGUAGUACCAAUUCACAACACAAGAGAACAAAAAAAAAAUAAAGACCUUUUGCUUUUAGAUAUCGUUAGAGCAUCUCCAAUAGUGGUAACACCAUUGGAGUCCUUAGCAUUAUUUUAGUAAUUUUUUUUUUAAUAGUUAAGAAUUCUAAUAAAAAAUGUUUGUCCAAUACUAUAUCUAAUUAGGAGUGUUUAGGUAUAAUCUUGUCCCAUGUUUCCUUAACCUGAAAGAGAUUUACAAGAUAGAAAUUAGACACUAAAAGUAAUCAACUUGUUCUCCUAUACAAUCGAACUUGUUCUCCUAUACAUUCACAACACUAAAGAAUCUGACUUAUAAACAGUCUGAAAAGAAUCUGAAACCGUAAAGAAUUCACAACAUUAAAGAAUUUACAGAGCACACAGUAGUAAUACUAAUCUAUGAGAAGAAGAUAGUACUUCUGGGUAAACAAUCUAAAGAACACAACACUCCAAUCGUAAUGAAUCACAUAGUCGAAAUCUUAACAACACAACACAACCCUCUUUGAACUACAAACAAAAAUCGUUUUCAAACACUAACUACAAACGAAGACUUUCCCAAAUCAAUUCAAACACAAAUCGUUUUGAAACCCUAAUAGAUUGACUCUUUCAAAAUAAGAGAAGAAGAUAAUCCCAAAUCACAUGAAACCAAGAUCGUUUUCAAACAUUAAUGUACCUAUGUCCACAAAUUUUCAAACUAAGCAGGUUUAAGAAUCAUGGUUAGAGUUUAAAAAGAAUUACUAAUCAGAUUUAAGAAUCAUGGUUAGAGUUAAAAAAAAUUACUAAUCAGGUUUAAGAAUCAUGGUUAGAGUUAAAAAAAAAUUAAUAAUUUCAAACCAAUGAGACAGCGCCAACACAUUAAGGACUUCAUCCUUUUAAUCCUUAGUUAAGGAUUCAUUCUUAACUUUUUUUAACUGUGCACCAUUUUUUAAUGUUUGUUUAAUGAUAAAGUGCUAAGGAUUAUAGCUAAGGAUUUGCUAUAAUCCACCAUUGUACAUGCUCUUAGUAAUGGAAAAAGAAAUAUGGACUUUAGAAUUUUUUUUUUUUUUUGAAACCCGAGCUUCGAUCGCAUUCUCCGGAGGAAAAUCGAUUUGCAAACUAUAUCUAUUUUAUUGAAAACUCCAUAAAACCUUUGGAGCGUCACGGAUCAUUUUAGCGAUUGCGGUUACUUCAGACGGCGUUUGGGGGGGGGGGGGGGAAAUUGUGGCAUUAUGGUAAUUAUGUAUCGAAAGAUAUGGUAUACUUGUCAAUUCCUUGUGUAAACGGCUCUAUGCGUAGAAAGAGAGAGAGAGAGAUGUAUAAAAUCAUCAUCAAAUCUAUCAAAUGUCAAAUAAAAAAAAGAUGCAACCUUUCUUCUUCUCUGUGUUGUCAAAUCACAUCAAGAGCUCUCUUUCUUCGUCAUCAUCAUGAAAACUCUCUGCAUAAAACUGUUUGCACUGGUGGUGUGAGAGUGCUGCUAGAGAUAGUUUAAAGAUGCAACCUUUUUGCUUAUCAUCAUCAUCUUCAUCAUCAUCAUCAUCACUGUAGUCUCUUUUAGUUUUUCUCUAUAAACAAACAGUCCUUCAACUUCAAGGGUUGUGUUGCUUUUGGAAGAAAGAUGAUAACUUCGCAGAGGUCAGUGAUCGCUCUUCCGGCUCGGCUCGAAACCGUUUUGGAGAAAAUAUACAGCAAACACAAAUGUCCUCCCAUAAACGACGACUCAAGGCAGAGACUUUCUUCGAUCCCUGAGGAUCUAGCUUUCGAUUUGCUCAGGAAAGCUUUUAAUUCUCCGGGAACGUCCAGCCUCGACCGCUUCAUCGCCUCUAAGCUUACUAGCUCGUAUCCUCCUCCUGGUUCCUCUCGAAGCAGAGUUUCUCAAGGUCAGUCAGUUUCUAUCCGAACAAAAAAAGGCAAGCAGAGUCUUUGUAUUUGACUGUGGUUUUGUUGCUCUGAUUGUAGAAGAGAUACCUGUUGAUUAUGAAGCUCCUUCUUUGAGAAGACGACAAGUCAAUGGAGGAUCUUCUCUUCACAUUCCUCCUCCUCAGCUCUUACUAGCUUUGAGUGAACUUGAAUUCAACAAGGCCUUUCUCUUGCUUACCUACAUUCCUCGGUAUGUUUAUGCCUCCUAAGUUUUCUACUUUUCACUUAAGUUGGUUCUGGUAGAAACUACCCUUUUAAUGAUAAUAUUUUUUGAUGUUAAACAGGAAAGAUCUGGGUCAGGUUGAAAUAACUGCUGAAGAGAUUAGAGGAUGGAAGGAUCUGUCUAUGGUUGCAUUUGAAGCUGCGGUUUGGGACAGUUUGGGAAUUAAAUUUUGUUCCCCAACAGACCGUAGAUUGGUAUUUUUGUCUGUUUCCUCUAUUUGUACUAUUUGGGUCUUUAUAUGCUUCCUUUGUUUCUGCAGUCACUGGAAUGUGAUAAUGAGAAGACUAGCUACUACCAAUGUCAUGUUGCUUCGGAUGGCAGUUACACAUUCAAGGUGUGUUGCAUGUCUACUUUUCUGUUAAAGCAAUUAUUUUUGCAAGUUGCUAUCUUAUGUCUAUUCCACAUUUCUUGGUAUCUACUUAUACUAAUGGAGACACUUUUUUCACAGGGCCCUCUUAUUGAGCCCACUGGAACACACCUGCACAAGGUCUUGGGUGAUGCUAAUGUGUUGACUGUCAAGUUUGAGGAUGUCCCGAGAAACUCAUCAACCGAUCGUUACACUACAUACAGAAGGAUUGCCAAGAAUGGUAUCAUGCUUGGGUUACGUCGUUAUCAAUUUUUUGGUGGGUCUAUUUUCUCUUUAUCAUUCAUGUCAACACUUUUUCACUAUUUUAAAAUAUUAUUUAUUUGGAGCUUGUUAUUAUAACACUCUGUUGAACAGUUUUCAAAGAUGGUGGUGCUGUUCGUUUGGUUGCCGCAGGUACCGGCGGCAGCGGCAGCGUCAACAUUCGGCGUCAACUCUUGUUCGUUUCGUUGACGCAGGCAGCUGCGUCUGACGCUGCGUUCGAACGCCGCGUCCUGCGGCUGACGCCGAUAAAACCAGCGGUCGCGACAUAAAACCUGCGGCCAAUAAGGUAAUUUACUAUUUUACCCUUACUAUGUUUUAGUAUUUACAAAAAAACCUAAACCUAAAUUUGACGCAGUCGGGGAAAGUUUGACGCAGCUCCAUCUCUAUCUUUCUCUCUCGAUCUCCAUUCUAGAACCAGUGAAGACCUCGAGAGCUCUCUCCAUCUCGUGCUCUCUCCAUCUCAAGCUCUCUCUCUAUCUCGAGCUCCCUCUCUCUCUCUCCAUCUCGAGCUCUCUUCAUCUCGGGCUCUCUCUCCGUCACGAGCUGUCUCCAUCUCAGGCUCUCUGGCUCUCUCUCCGUCACGAUCUGUCUCCAUCUCGGGCUGUCUCUCUUCUCCGAAGAAAACCCAUCUCCGAUCUCAUCUCGAAGCUCUCUUCUCCGAGCUCAUCUCAUCUCCAAGCUCUCUCUUCUCCUUUUCUCGUUGAGGUACGUUUGAUGCUAGUGAAAUAGAGUUUCAACAUUCUGAUUAUUGAAUCUCUGAUGAUUGUUUGAUUCCAUUGCUGUAACUAGGAAUCAUAGUGAAAUAGGCCUAGCUGUAACUCCCUUUCUUUGCCUUCAUGGUUCCAUUGCUGGUCUGUUCUUUUAAUAUAAACGAUGGGUUGUCUUCUGAGUGUAGCUUUUGGGGUUUCUAAAUUUAAAGUGCAGGCUACAAAAACAUCCUAUUGUAGUUAGUACGUAUUGGUUUACGAGUCUGCACUCAUGGGGAAGCUUAAAGGGUUGCUUCUUGGUAUUAAAUUGUUUUAAGAAGUUAACAUAUGUCGAGUCAAGUAGAAGUUAAAUUGUUUCUGUUUCCUGGAACAUUGUUGGAACGUUGUUUGGUUUUAUUUGGAGAAAGUAGACGGCUUGACUUGAUUUUUCAUUUUUUUUAAUAAUUUGUGUGUGUUUAGAGAACACUCAACGUAUGCUUCAAACUGUGGAUUGUGAAUGAUUUUUAUUUAUGCUUUUCUUCCAUAUUUGUUUAAAAUUUAUAAAGUAUUUAUUGAUCAUAAGAUCUUAUGUGUUUUGAUUCAUUGAUCAUAAGCUCCAUUUCUCUGCAUCUUUUUGCAGGCUCUCUCAUCUCAGGCUUGCUCAGACCUAGUGGAAAAGGUGACUAACAAGUGCAAAUAUAUUUUACUACUUGUUCCAAAACGUGAACACAUUGCUUAUUCUCUUUUUUUUUUUUUUGCAGACUCAGAUCUUCUCAAGCUCACUCUCUCAAGCUCAGACCCUCUCAAACUCACUCUCUACCGCUGUUCCUCUCACUUCUUAAGAUGUCGACGUCAAAAGAUGUAAGUUUCUCUCACACUAGUCUUAAUGCUUGUAUGGAACUGUCUUUAGGUUGUAUGGAACUGUCUUUAGGCUGUAUGGAACUGUCUUUAGGUCUUUUAGGUCGUAUGCUUAAGGGUCUGUGUCUUGCUUUGGUGUGUUUUAGAAUUGGAAACCUGAGGAAACUAGGUAUUUUUUCCAACUCUACGCGGAAGAGAGAAGAAAAGGAAAUAAGGUUGGUCAGCAAAUGAAUAAAGUAGGAAAAAAUAACAUCAUGGAUGCAUUUGAGCUGAGGUUUAAGAAGGGAUUUUCCGAUUGGAAGAGAGACUACAAGAACAAGUACGACAGCAGCAGAAAAAAAUACAUCAGGAUUAAGAUGCUGACUCAGAACAGGACAGGGCUUGGGUAUGAUGACAUGGGAAGGAUCGACAUGUCAGAUGAUUGGUGGAAAGAGCGCGAAAGGGUCAGUUUCUCAUUUUCUCUUUUGUGAACUUAGCUGUUAAAAUGUACUUGUGUUGAAAUAAUUGAGCUUAUUAGAAGUUUGUGACUGAUUCUAUCACUGAUUUUAUCACUGACUUACUCUUUCUGUGUUAUAUAGGAGUGUCCAGGAAUUAGAAAAGCCUUCUGCAAAGAAAUUGAUAACAUGGAUAUGUUUGAAGCAGAAUUUGGUGGUGUAGUAGUUACUGGAGCAGAAGGUUGGAGUGCUCAACAUGGAGAAGCAAGCUUGAAUUCGAGAGUUGGUGGAGAUAUUGCUGAGGAUGAAGCUGAUUCUCAGCCAGCAGCGGAGACAGAAACCCAGGGCCAAGCUCCUCGCCAAACUCAACCAGCGGCUCAGACUCAUUCUGGAGGUUCAAGAGCAAAACGAAGGCGUAAGGAGAAAGAUGUGGCUGUGGAGGCUUGUGAAAAAAGGACUGCUGCUCUUGAAGUGAAGAAUAUGCUAGCAAAACAAUUGAUGGAGCGUGAACAACCAUUCAGUGUUGAGACCGUAUUGGAGAUGUUGUAUGCUCUCCCUGAAGUGAGAGAGUGGUCGCCUUUAUAUGAAGCAUCGAUUGAGCUUCUGAUAGAUAGUGAAGGGAGCCGAAGGGGAUUCAUAACGAUGAAGACAGAUGAAGCGAAGACUAAGUUUCUGGAGCUUAGGACCAAGAUAAAACGUGAUGAGUGACUAGUUAGUGAAUUGGAACUAGUAGAUUCACUAGUUUAUGUUGAGUAGGAACUUAAGUUUGGUACUGCUUUAUGUUAUGAAACUUAAGUAGUGGAUUCCUUUCAUCACGCUGAGCAGAAACUUUGGUACUUUUUUAUGUUGUGUCUUGUCUUUUUUUUUGUUAAUAACAGGAUCAACUUUAUUGCUGUGUAAUAACAAUGUUGUGUCUUGUCUUUUUUUGUUAAUAACAGGUCUGAUCUUGAGUUUUUAAACCUCAAAGAGUCGUUUAAAUAUUGUUUCUUAUUUCUAUCUUGAACAUUUAUUUACUUGAAUUUGUGCAGUGGCUGUUACUGAACUUAUUUAGACUAAUGAUGAUUUAUUCAAUAUGGUUUUGUAGAUGCUUGAAAGAUGGAUGUUGGAAGAUGAAGAUGGUGAUUACGAUGAUGAACUUGGUUUGUUUUCCACAUGAUACCAAAGUCUUGACUCAUUGUGCGAGAAACGAGGCUUCUUUUCCACAUCCUCCUCCCGGAAAGUAUUAUUUAGUUGACUCCGGAUAUCCGACCAGGACAGGGUAUCUUGGUCCGCAUCGUAAUAUGCGAUAUCAUCUUAGUCAGUUUGCUACAGGAGGACCACCAGUUAGUGCAAGAGAGUUAUUCAACCGAAAGCAUUCAGGUCUGCGAUCAGUGAUUGAGAGAACAUUUGGAGUAUGGAAAGCAAAAUGGAGGAUUUUGGAUCGUAAGCAUCCAAAAUAUGGUCUGGUCAAGUGGAUUAAGUUGGUGACAGCGACGAUGGCGCUACACAACUUCAUACGUGAUUCACAUCGGGAUGACAGGUGAUAGAGCGAUGGAAGAUUUGCGUGAUAACAUCACAAAUGAAUAUGGUAGAGGUCGUUUACCGUAUUAAAUGUUUUAGUUGAUGAUUUAAUUUUUUUUUUGCUUAUAACUUUGAUUGUCAUUUAAAUGUGAUAUUUAUUUAAGACUUGAUGUAAUAUUUAGCUUUUGUUUAUGAUAAAUAUUUUGAAUUAUUAUUUUGUUUCUAAUUUAGCUUAUGAUGUAUGAAAAAAAAUUGUUACAUUUGUAUAAUUUACAUUUGUAUAAUUGACCAAAAAAUUAUUAUCAAGUAAACAUAAUAUUUUAAUGGAUGUAAAUAUAUUUAAACUACACUUGAUUUAUUUAAAUACAAUUUUAUAAAAAAAUUAAAAUAAAUCUGAAAAAAUGAAAAUAGCCGCUGCGUCUGUCAAACGAACAACCCAAAAAUCUGCUUCCUGCGGCAGCGUCGGCGUCGAUCUCAACUUCUUGCGUCUUCUAAACGAACAAUAAUCUGCGGCAGCGGCAGCGGCAGCGUCGGCGUCAGCGUCUGCGAAACGAACAACAACUGUCUUCAUUGACGCUGCCGCUGCCGCCGACGCUGCCGCUGCCGCUGCCGCCGAAACCUGCGGCAACCAAACGAACAGGGCUUUACUCAAAAGUUUUUCAUAUAGGAAAUGCAGAUCCAGUGAGCCCUUAAGGAAAGGC